GACGAACGCUGGCGGCGUGCUUAACACAUGCAAGUCGAACGGUAAGGCCCUUCGGGGUACACGAGUGGCGAACGGGUGAGUAACACGUGGGUGAUCUGCCCUGCACUUCGGGAUAAGCCUGGGAAACUGAGUCUAAUACCGGAUAGGACUCCGGACUGCAUGGUCUGGGGUGGAAAGCUUUUGCGGUGUGGGAUGGGCCCGCGGCCUAUCAGGUUGUUGGGGGGGUGAUGGCCUACCAAGGCGACGACGGGUAGCCGGCCUGAGAGGGUGACCUGCCACACGGGGACUGGGAUACGGCCCAGACUCCGACGGGAGGCAGCAGUGGGGAAUAUUGCACAAUGGGCGCAAGCCUGAUGCAGCGACGCCGCGUGAGGGAUGACGGCCUUCGGGUUGUAAACCUCUUUCAGCAUCGACGAAGCGAAAGUGACGGUAGGUGCAGAAGAAGGACCGGCCAACUACGUGCCAGCCGCCGCCGUAA
rnacentral:rRNA from 1 species